AGGCUGGAGUUUGCUCACCGGGGAGUUUCGCUUCACACCGCGCUGGCUUCGUGCCCUGCGCGAGGUCACAGCAGCAGGGGAGCUCGCUGCUGAGGCCAAAGGGUUGGCAAUUCUGUAGCCUGAAAUCUCUGAAGAACAGAAAACCAAAGAAGACAGAGUAAAAGAGGAGAGAUCUGGGCUCAGGAACCGGAAAGGCUUCAGCACUGGAGAAUUCUGCAAAAUGCCAGUUAUAACCAAAGACAGCUAUAAUUUGGACAACAGGCAGCCACAAGAUUUAAAACGGGACAUCAGAUAGGUCAUUUAUAUGGCUUCCUCA